GACACGCCGCCCACCGCAGCCCCAGCCUCUCGCGUGGGGCCUCUGCCCGCACACACGCAGCCAGGCACUGCUUCUAAUGUGAGGAAAAACACGGAAUGACAAGUGUGGGAAAGAGCAAGCACUAAAUUACUGUCAGAAAAAUAAACGGAGUAGCACAGUGCUGCUCGGUGAUUUACGGGGGCAAUUAGUCACCACCCCACGGCGCUGCUGAGGACAGCACGGCAGCAGACAAGUCAGGCCCAUGAGGAAGAAGAGGCUUUGCACUGCUCUCCAGACAACUUUUCAAACAACAAGAGAGGAUAUUUGAGCACAUUAGGUUUUGUGUCUUCAUUCUGGCCGUGUGAAGAUGUGCCUGCUUCGCCUUCCAUCAUGACUGAAGUUUCCUGAGGCCUCCCCAGCUAUGCUCCCUAUACAGCCUGCAGAACGGUCGGCUGCCUCCAAUCCUGAGGUCAUCACUCAUCAAGAGGGGAUAAUCCCAGGGACAGCAGGAUCUGCUUCGUUACUUGGAUUUAGGAGCCAGAAACCCAUCAGGCAACUAAACAGUAACAAUGACCCGCCAUUAAACACACUGAGAGAAGAGCAUGAUGAAGAGUUUGUACAAGAAGAAGCCAGGAGCACUUGCUGACAAUGCUUACAGAGACGCAGGCUUCUAUGAGCUCUGCCUGUUGAACUGCAGUAAAAAUAGAUCUCCUUCCCCAGAGAGGCUUGGAUGUGGGCACAAUAUCAGUUCAGACGAUGGUCAAUGCAUGUACUUAAUAGAGUGAAAAGACUUUGGACUGUGAAGUCAGAUUACCUGGGUCUGAAUUGUUAUUCUUCUACUUCUUUGUAGUAUGCUUUCACCACAUUAAAAAUUGUCUGAGCCUCAAUUUUUUUAUCUGCAAAAUGGAGCUAAUACCUACACAGGGGCUUUUAAGAGAAUCAAAUGCAACAAUGUUUGAAAAGCAACAUACUCCCCUUUAUGGAAAAAGAGCCUGUAAA
rnacentral:lncRNA from 1 species